AGACAUUGACACCUCGGUCAAGCGGAAGGAGGCAAUAAAACCAUAAAAGAGAUAGCGGGGGAGACAAGGUCAAGUGAAGGGAAGGCGGCAUACAAAUUUGAAAGAACAACUUUUAAUUUAAAGUGUUUUAGUUUAAGUUAAGAGUCCUUAAAAUAUGGCGAAAGCGAUUCGCUCGAGGAACGGUUUGAAAUAUGUAAAACAGUGGUGGAAUUGUCGGUAGUAAUGUGACAAAAAAAAGUGAUUUCACUCAUUUUCUUUGCAAUGAAUAAACAGACAAUCCACUUUUCGUCGAGGAAAGGUUUUUAUACAAUCGGAAUACAAAAGACUCCAUCUCAAUUAACAUUUUUCCUAGUUAACUCACGUGUUCUGCAGAAGUUAACCACUUCUUAUAACGAUUCCAAAUAUGUAAAACAGUGUUGGAAUUGUGAGAAGAAAUGGGACAGCACAAACAAUUCUUUUCUCUUCGUCGGAAUGAUGAGUUGACAAAUAUGACGAAUUUUGAACUAGGAAGGGUUUGUAACAUACCCUUCUACAGUAAAGGCCAUAAAGUCUCCGUCCGAGUCAUUAAACUAUAUUCCGAUUUUUAAACUAUUAAACUACUAUUCAUAAUCUCAUCGCUGAAACUAGAAAACAGAAAGAAGCAUAUUCCAUACGUUACCCUUACGAAUUGGUAAUGGCAAUUUUACUGCUCACCCUAGGGAUAAUCGCCCUAGCCUACAAGCAGUACACCCUUACUGUACGACUAGCCGUACAUGAACAGUACGACAACCCUCCACCCGGAGACCGCGGGAGGGAUGAGGUACAAACACAAGAUGUGUAACGAGCUACUAGUGGAAGAAAAGAAAAAGACCAUUCAAGAUUUAUAAAAAAAGGAGUGUAUUUUUUUCAAAAUUCGCCAAAGAAGAAGUUACAUUAUUCUUCGUUUAAUUGAUCCUCGACGUAGUCGAGGAGAGAAGUUAAACUAUGCGAGAAAUCCCGUAAUAGACGAAAAUCUUCUUGCCCGGGGUUUUCCAUAUCGAACGACGCUAAAACGUCGUUCCACGUUGAACGCGCGGCGAGUCGGUUGUCCAUCUCAGCCUGUGUUAUCUCCGUGUAAAAUUCUGAAGAGUGCAGAGUCGGGUAAAAAAUGUCUUCAUCUGACUCCAACCACCAGAGAAGACGCGAGUGAGUCAGUGAAAACAGUUCGCGGUAUUUGGCAUAACCGGAAUAUUUACUUAAACAAAAGGAAAAAAGAAAAGUUUAAUUAAAAGAAAUUAAGAAAAUCGUAAAAAAGGAAAAUUUUUCUUACCUGAAGUAAUAGUCUCCAAACCAAACGGUGCUCACGGAUGGUGAAAAAGUUAGGCGAGUAUCAGUCUGAUAAACUUCUAAAAGCACUGAAAAGAAAAACACUCGGUCGCUGGAGCACAACCGGCUGUAGCGGCUCUGCUGGUUGUUGAAUGUUGCGUCAACAAACCGCACUAACGCGCACUCAAACGCACGAAGAUUCUCUAAAACGUUGGAAUAGGUAAACAUUCUACCGUGGAAGCUGAAAGAACACUGAAUUUGCAAUCUGGAAUAGUCAUCUUACUUUCAUUCUAUUGUCAUUCCUUUUUGCCGAUAAUUUGAUAUCAAUGUUUACUUAUGAUUUUCGUUAUGGCUUUGUUUCAUUUUGCGCUAUAACCCCGUUUCAGCUAUCUCUUUAUUACUCUAGAAAAAAUCUUCGAGUUCUAAUGCCGUUUCCAAUUUCCCAUGUUUUAUCGUGUUAUUUCCCUUUUUAUGCUAUUCGUAGUACAGUCGGGUCGCCUGUCUUAAAGAAGGGGGACCUGUCACGGAGGGACAAUAGCAGAAAUGCUUAUCUCUUCCUAGAGACGCUGUAAUUACGAAAAUGGAAAUUUGUUGUAAUUUCAUCGGGCAUUACUCUUUAUUAAGCAGAAAUUUUAAAAAUAGAUUAAGAAAGUACGCUAAGUUUAUGUAACCUUAGGGAGGGGGCGUAUUUUCAAAGCUAGUAUAAAACCCACUAUUUUCUCUCCCUCAUUAGUUCUUAUUUCGCUAGAACCGUAGCUAGUAAGUAAAAGAGUGUUAUUCUUUUUCUCGCAUGUAUUUCACUUGUUUUGAGUUACAAUACAUCCCUUUAAAGUCAAGUGCGACAAUAAGGUGAAGACAUUGACACCUCGGUCAAGCGGAAGGAGGCAAUAAAACCAUAAAAGAGAUAGCGGGGGAGACAAUGUCAAGUGAAGGGAAGGCGGCAUACAAAUUUAAAAGAACAAAUUUUAAUUUAAAGUUUUUUAGUUUAAGUUAAGAGUCCUUACAAUAUGGCGAAAGCGAUUCGCUCGAGGAACGGUUUGAAAUAUGUAAAACAGUGGUGGAAUUGUCGGUAGUGUAAUGGUUUACACGCGCGUGGAGCGUGCAAACUAUCACAUGAAUUUAAAGUAAUAAGAAUCUUUGGCUUUACCGCAUUGUAUUUGGAAGGCUGGAACAGGUCGGGACAGAUCGGCACAACUGGCGAGAAAGUUAACAGAAGACUGAAGGGGCAAGCUUAAUCUAGUUCUAUUUAUUAGGUCUUGAGGAAGCAUUUUUUCCUUGGUUGGCGUGGGGUCGUGGUAGCGUCCUUUCCAACGGUCAACUUGACAUUCUUCUUUGUUCGAGAACAAUGGGGCUUUUUCCGCAACGGUCAACUCCCCGUAUUGCUUGGGGCGCCAGAGGGGUGAUUUUUUAGAAAGUCGAAAGACAUCGUUUCUCUGUUGUCAGAGAUCUCGAUUCUUUACAGUAGUAAUGUGACACUAAAAAGUGAUUUCACUCAUUUUCUUUGCAAUGAGUAAACAGAUGUAAUAGUUUACACGCGCGUGGAGCGUGCAAACUAUCACAAGAAUUUAAUGUAAAUAAAGAAUCUUUGUUGGACUUUACCGCAUGUUGUAUUUUGGGCACAGUAGGGCUGGGACAGGCCGAGACAGGCAGGAAUAACUAGCGAGAAUGCUAACAGAAGACUGAAGGGGCAAGCUAAAUCUAGUCCUAUUUAUUAGGUCUUGUAAAAGCAUUUUUUCCUUGGUUGGCGUGGGUCGUGGUAGCGUCCCUUCCAACAGUCAACUUGACCUUCUUCUUUGUUCGAGAACAAGGGGGCUUUUUCCCGCAACGGUCAACUCCCCGUAUUGCUUGGGGCGCCAGAGGGGUGACUUUUUAGAAAGUCGAAGACAUCGUUUCUCUGUUGUCAGAGAUCUCGAUUCUUAACACAGACAAUCCACUUUUCGUCGAGGAAAGGUUUUUAUACAAUCAGAAUACAAAAGACUCCAUCUCAAUUAACAUUUUUCCUAGUUAACUCACGUGUUCUGCAGAAGUUAAUCACUUCUUAUAACGAUUCCAAAUAUGUAAAACAGUGUUGGAAUUGUGAGAAGAAAUGGGACAGCACAAACAAUUCUUUUCUCUUCGUCGGAAUGAUGAGUUGACAAAUAUGACGAAUUUUGAACUAGGAAGGGUUUGUAACAUACCCUUCUACAGUAAAGGCCAUAAAGUCUCCGUCCGAGUCAUUAACCUAGUCCAUCGGCGCUGCCAUUUUCUGUUCCAAAUAAUAAUUCUAUAUUGUCACACUUGACUUUAAAGGAUGUAUUAAAUCCCAGAAAAAAGGGAAUACACAACAAAUGAAUUGUACUUUUACUAACUAGUUACGCGUCUAGCGAAAGAAGAACCAUGAUGAGGAAAAAAAUUGUGGAUGUUUUCUAGCCUUGGAAAUACACCGGUUCCCUAAGGUUACCCGACUCUAAUGUACUUUCUUAUUCUAUCCUGGAAUUUCUACUUAUUAAAAGAGUAAUGCGCGAUGACGUAACAAGUUUUAACAUUCGAAACUACAGCGUCGGCUGUAGCGUCUCUAGGAAGAGAUAAGCACAUCUGUUAUUGUCCCCCCGCGACAUGCCCCCCUUCUUUAAGACAGGCGACCCGACUGUACUACAAAAAGCAUAGAAAGUGGAACAACAUGAUAAAAGGUGGGAAUAGCAAAAGAACUCGAAGAAUUUUCUAAAGUCAUUAAAACAAUCAAUGGUCACUCACCAAGAGGAUAGUCUAUUUCAAGCGACGAACUUUGGGUCGCUUACCGAGAGUCUUCCUUCUCAGUUGCAGCCAUGGAAAAUUGAUUUCGCCUCUUCAUACAUGUUCCUAUUUUUGACCACGCCCAGCAGUACAAGCUCCUCCAGAUUAUCAACCUGCCAGGAGCAACAGAUAAUGGAACUAAUGGCGUCUUGUUCGGAAAUUUACCAGAUUACCUUGCUGUGUCCACAGACCUCGAAACUGUUUUCGAAUUUUCCAAAGAUUAUGUUUAAGGCUGCAGCAAGAAAGAACGUCCUCUCUGCAAGUUCCACGCCGGCAUCAGUAAAAGAACUCCUCGAAAAUCCUGCGCAAUAGCUGUGUUCCUGAGUGAUACACCAAGAAUUAACAAACAAUGCAAAAAGAAAGUUACGGAAUGGUGCGGCCCUGAAGUCGUUUACAUGGGAGCCAACCAAUGGAUUUAUUCAGCAGCAAAGCCACAUGAAAUUGUGUUUUCGUGUCCAUCUGGUGGUGAGCAGCCACCACUAAGAACAGCAACAUUACCGCGUAUAUGAAUGUAUGAAAUACCUUUGGGAUGCACUGCUCGUAUAGAAGAGUGAGUUUUCCCAGCUAGUAUGGAAGGCAACAUAAUGGCACCAAAAUUACAAGCAGUUGUCCUACCGACAGUUAAAAUUUUUUCUAGAGAUGUCAACACUACUGCGAGCAAGAAACAUACCUUCGUGGAACUUUCGCGAAAAAACACAUCGUUAAUAGACAUCAUCAGUCAACUGUUACAUCGCAAUGCCCAAGCCAGCCUUUCAACGGAAAUGACAGGAGAACAAAUUCACAAUCUCAUCAUGGCAACUCAAAAACAGAAAAAAAACGUCUUCUAUACGUUACCCUUACGAAUUGGUGACUGCAGUAUUCCUUCUGGCCUUAGGGAUAAUUGCCCUUGCAUACAAAUUGUAUACGCUCAGUGUACGCUUAGCCACAGCACAUGAGCGGUACGACAACCCUCCUCCCGGAGACCGCGCCAGGGAGGAGAUAGAGACGCAAGAAGUUUAAUGUGUUAUUAAGCUGAAGAAAGGAAAAAGACUAUUCAGAUUUGAAUAAAAAAGGGUAUUUUUCAAAAGUUCACUCAAGAAAAAUUUUCAUCACUCUUCGUUUAGUUGAUCCUCGACGUAGUCGAGAAGGGAAGCUUAACUAUGGGAAAAUUCCUGUAACAAGCAAAAAUCUUCUCGCCCUGGGUGUUCCGUGUCGAACGACGUCAAAACGUCGUUCUAGGUCGAACGUGCGGCGCGACGGUUGUCCAUUUCAGCCUGAGUGAUUUCGGUGUAAAAUUCGGAGGAAUGCGCUGUCGGGUGGUAAAUGUCUUCAUCUGAUUUGGACCAACAGAGAAGACGCCUUUUGCUUCAGUAGGUAUUCUGGAUACGCAAAAUACCACGAACUGUUUUCUUUUACUCAUGCGCGUCUUCUCUGUUGGUCCGAAUCAGAUGAAUAAAAAUGGAAAAUAGCAGAUACUUAAAAUAAGAGCAGCAUAAGCUGCGCAAACUGUCUAAGAUGGCCAAUUAAUGUGUAUUAAUGUAUAAUAAGAAGAAAACGGCGCGGAAAACAGUCAUUUGGAAAACAACGUUUUGGAGGGAAUGUUCUGAUUUAUCCGGGUAGUCAGCGCCCCUAGCGAGUGCCCCAAAAUUUGCCGUUGUUCAUGUCAGCACCUGGAGAGGACGCUGUUGUGGAUGUUUACUCGAGGACUCAUCUAUAUAAUAGAAAUGUGGAAUCGUACGCAAUGAAAAUAGACAGGAGUAACGUGAAAAUGACAGCCAAGAAGACGAAUCGUAGAUUCCAGGACAUGGAAUUCCAUAGUCGUGCUAGAUAGAGAUGAAUCCAUCGCUGGUAAAACUAUUUUACCAUUUGCAUUAUUUUUCUUAUUAGAUACAUGAUUUGAGUAUCACCCUUUCUACUUGGAAGAAAACAUCUGGGUAAAGUCAAGUUUGCAUAAAGUUAAAGCUUAAACAAAAAUUAUUUUGGCUUGUACAGGAAAAUACCAGAGCAUAUUUGUGAAGACUACAUUUUUGCUCAUGCUUUAACUGAGAUUGUCCUUUUGCAAGAGUUUACCAAUGUAAAGACUGAGUAUUUUGUGGAGGAAGUACCGUAAAAACCUUAAAAUUGAUUUUCAAUUUCAACCAAUUAUUACAGUGUCGUAGUCAAUGAUGCAAAUACCGAUUUGAAAGCCUGUACGGUGUUAGUUUUAUAAGGACUCCUAUCAGAGCUCAUCUUUUUAGUGCACUUAUUUGAAUCUGCGGAACCCUGUCAUUGGUUUUGGUCUAUAGGUAGAACCAAUAAGUAGAGGUUGUUGAGUUCCCCCCCAGUCCAAGGCAUUUUUCAAUACAUCAGCUGUGAUCAAUCUUUUCAAAAAAGAGAACGGCUGCAAACAUUUGAAGGAGAUAAUUGACCUCAACCACUGAUUAUUGAGAGUAGUGUUAAUUAUCAGGUUAUCAGAUUCGUUUUUUUUUUUUCAUGUAGUAAAUGUAUGUGUGUAGAUAGCAAGUAAGCUAAGGGAACUUUGCCCUUAAAUAUUGAAACAGCUGUUGGCAUUAAGUAUUUCUAAUCCAUUACCUUCAAAUCAGUUUAUCUCUAGUCUAUCCAACAGAUAAUACUACAUUUUUCAUUGAAUUAUUUUGAUUUCCAUUUAUAUUUUUAUGCAUCUGUUGUCGUGGAGAAGCUCGCAUUUAUCAGAUUAUUAAAAUUGUGGCUUUAACUUCGAUGUCGAUGGUGGAUUUCCAUCGGUGAAAUUUCCGACCAAUCCGUGGAGGUAUUAAAACAGUAAAAAACUAAAGGAUUAUUUCGAAAUCAAAUCAUGUGGGUCACGUCAUCAACAGAGUAGUCAACGACAAACAAAAACAAGUGCCGAGCUCGGUUUCAGAGGGUUUCAUGGCGCGAUAAUGGACGACGCUUCUCCUUUCAUCGAAAAUUUUUUUCCAAAGUAGAAAGUACUCUACCGUUAGAGGAAUGAAUAUGGCAUCACUGUUGGCGUGUCAUAAAUGUACGGACCAGUGUCCACAUUGAAGAGUGUUUCACUCCUAAAGUUUUAUUUUUGUUUCUUUUUUUGUGUAUUUGAAUGAAUGAGGGGGCAGAAGGGGGAUAUCCAAAUUCGCAACGCCAUCUAGCGUUAACUAGCAAAAUGCGAUUAGUGCCGCUUAAUAGAAAAAUUUAGUUGCGCCCUCUGGCUUCAAAGUAAAUGACAGAACCAGAGUCAUGGGUUCCAUGUUGGGAUCGUCCCCGACCCUAAUCGGGUGAAAUUUUGCCAAUGGAGGGGCGCUCGGGGUGAAAAUUUUUGAGCUCUGAUCUAAAUCAGGGUGCGUAAUCGGGGAUGUAACCCCGAUUGCAAUCGAUCGAGUCGAAAUCGAUUAGUAUGAUGAAAAUCAGGGAGUUCGCUCCGCUCACCCCGAUAAAAACCCGACCAAAAUUCAUAGUUUGAUUCAGGCGUCAUUUUUGCAAGUGGCGUUAGGGUAAGCGGGUUAACUCCAAUUUUUGCCCCGCCCCGGCUGUCGAAGUGGCACCCCGAUUCAGCCCCGAUUGCAUCUUCCCGUGGUGGGGCCCCGAUCAGCCAUAACCGCCCCGCCCCGGGAAAAGGCAAUCGGGUCUAGAUCGGGUUGACAUUUCGUCAGCCGGGGCGGGGCAGGGCUAAAAUCAGGGUAAACCUGCUUGCCCCGACAACAUUUGCAAAAUUGGCGCCUGAAUUGAAACUACGAAUUUGGGUCGGGUUUUUAUCGGGCAACCGGGGCGAACUCCCCAAUUUUCAUCAUAAUGAUCGAUUUCGACUCGAUCGAUUAUGUUUUUACGUCGAUCGAUUGAUUGCAAUCGGAGUUGCAUCCCCGAUUGAGAUCGGUGUUCACAAAUUUUCACUCGAACGCCCCGCCCCGAAUUUCGAAACACGAUUGGCAAAAUGUGCCCCGAUUAUGGUCGGGGCCGAUCCCUAGCUCUGACUAGGGCUGUGGCCCGGACCAAAUGGGACGGGAUUUUUCUUAUGUGGUUAAAAUUAACGGGUUUUUUUCCUUAAAGGGUUUUGAACCGGGUCGACGAGGCAAAAAAAAAUGUCCCGUCCAGCUUGACCCGUGGGUCAGAAAAAACAACCCGGGUCGGGUCAUGUCCCGCGUAAUUAUCGGGUCAAAUGCACUUUUCUUCUCUUCUUUUCAGUCUCGUCAUCAGACUCAACCAUUACAACGUUUAUAUUUGGAUAACUUCUUUUUUUGCCAGCAACAUCGCCUGAUUGACAGGAUUUAGGUACAUUUGGACGUUUUCUGCGAAUGGUGGCCAAUUUUCAAAACGAUUUUUUCCACUAUCCACAAUAUCUUUAAAUUUUUUUACAAUGAGCUACAACUUGAAGUAGGAAAGCAUAGCAUUUUAGCAUAGUCUCCAGCAGUUCAAAACUAUAUGUGAUUUUGUUUGGCAUAGAAUUGUGUAAAACUUGUGUAGAAAUUGUGGAAAGUGGAAAAAUUGUUUUGAAAAUUGGUCACCAGUCGCAGCACUAUAUUGAGACAAACGUCCCGAGGCGCCUGUGGGUUGGUGACUUGGUGGGAGGACCUAAGUUCCCAAGUACGCAGAGAGAUACCCCGAUUCCUGACCGUUACUGUAGAUUGCUAUGUUUUUAAGCUAUUCGGCUUUGUUGACUCGUAACUUAGCGUAAGAGUUAAAACCUUCUCUGUCUUACUACUAGAUGGCGCCACAUCUCGGGUUAGCCCGAAAACCCCUUGAACCAUACCGAAACCCGUCCCGAAAAAAAAAUUCCUUAAAGGGUUGCCUUUUAUCGGUUUUUUUUUUCCUUGACCCGGGAUCUGACCCGGGUUUUCAUGACCCGGGCCACAGCCCUAGCUCUGACAGAACCAUCUGAAGUUUUUCUGAAGUGUUCGGCAACGCUGACAGACCAGGAAGUGGAAACACUGGGCGUACAGAGUGAGUUAUCAGGUCGACAAGUGCUCUGCAAGUGCUAGAUUUCUGUCUCGUUGUAACAGUCAUGUGUCUUAUCAGCUUUCGUGUGGAUCGUGUGGAUGGAUUGGUACUGAACAAACUGUAGACUAGCUUAAUGCUUCUUCACCCAGUACACCACGUUCUUUCUUAUUAACUAGUGAGAGAAAAACAAAACGAAAUGACAAAACGAUCAGCUGAUUGCCAUUCCGUGGUAUUGAUGGCGGGAGUGCAAAAGCUACGAACUUAUCACCUGUUAUAAACCAAACGUCUGUCGAUGGCUGUGUUAAAAUAAAACAAAUUCUCUAUUUCACUUCCAGGUACUCACUUGUAUUCGGUUGAAAAUUGAUCAAGAGACGACUGGAUGCUGGUAGUCGGCGUUGAUGAUACCGUUUGCUACAAGUUAUUCAUCGAAAGCACGUGAAUUAUAGCUCAAUGGUUAAGCUUCGACAUUGUGCUCAAACAAGUGGGUUCGAUUCUCAUAUGAGUCAAGUUAUAAUGUGAUAUCCAAAGAGUUGAUGUGAUGUAGUUGCGUUUCGAAUAAAUAAUGUAAAUUGCA